UGGGGAAUAUUGGACAAUGGGCGAAAGCCUGAUCCAGCCAUGCCGCGUGUGUGAAGAAGGCCUUUUGGUUGUAAAGCACUUUAAGUGGGGAGGAAAAGCUUAUGGUUAAUACCCAUAAGCCCUGACGCUACCCACAGAAUAAGCACCGGCUAACUCUGUGCCAGCAGCCGCGGUAAUACAGAGGGUGCAAGCGUUAAUCGGAAUUACUGGGCGUAAAGCGCGCGUAGGUGGUUAUUUAAGUCAGAUGUGAAAGCCCCGGGCUUAACCUGGGAACUGCAUCUGAUACUGGAUAACUAGAGUAGGUGAGAGGGGAGUAGAAUUCCAGGUGUAGCGGUGAAAUGCGUAGAGAUCUGGAGGAAUACCGAUGGCGAAGGCAGCUCCCUGGCAUCAUACUGACACUGAGGUGCGAAAGCGUGGGUAGCAAACAGGAUUAGAUACCCUGGUAGUCCACGCCGUAAACGAUGUCUACCAGUCGUUGGGUCUUUUAAAGACUUAGUGACGCAGUUAACGCAAUAAGUAGACCGCCUGGGGAGUACGGCCGCAAGGUUA
rnacentral:rRNA from 1 species